CAUAUCUGGUUGGUUUGCUACGCAAUCAGUGGAGAACUCUCAUGUUAAUACGAUCUUUCC
rnacentral:misc_RNA from 1 species